rnacentral:rRNA from 1 species
AUUGAACGCUGGCGGCAUGCCUUACACAUGCAAGUCGAACGGCAGCAUGGAAGAGCUUGCUCUUCUGAUGGCGAGUGGCGAACGGGUGAGUAAUACAUCGGAACGUACCUUAUCGUGGGGGAUAACGCAGCGAAAGCUGUGCUAAAUACCGCAUACGCCCUGAGGGGGAAAGUGGGGGACCGCAAGGCCUCACGCUAUACGAGCGGCCGAUGUCGGAUUAGCUAGUUGGUAGGGUAAAGGCCUACCAAGGCGACGAUCCGUAGCGGGUCUGAGAGGAUGAUCGCCACACUGGGACUGAGACACGGCCCAGACUCCUACGGGAGGCAGCAGUGGGGAAUUUUGGACAAUGGACGCAAGUCUGAUCCAGCCAUUCCGCGUGCAGGAUGAAGGCCCUCGGUUGUAAACUGCUUUUGUACGGAACGAAAAAGGUUUCCA